AACGAACGCUGGCGGCAUGCCUAACACAUGCAAGUCGAACGAGACCUUCGGGUCUAGGGGCGCACGGGUGCGGAACGCGUGGGAAGCUGCCCUUAGGUUCGGAAUAACUCCCCGAAGGGGGUGCUAAUACCGGAUAAUGUCUUCGGAGCAAAGAUUUAUCGCUUUUGGAUGGGCCCGCGUUGGAUUAGCUAGUUGGUAGGGUAAAAGCCUACCAAGGCGACGAUCCAUAGCUGGUCUGAGAGGAUGAUCAGCCACACUGGCACUGAGACACGGCCCAGAAUCCUACGGGAGGCAGCAGUGGGGAAUAUUGGACAAUGGGCGAAAGCCUGAUCCAGCAAUGCCGCGUGAGUGAUGAAGGCCUUAGGGUUGUAAAGCUCUUUUACCCGGGAUGAUAAUGACAGUACCGGGAGAAUAAGCUCCGGCUAACUCCGUG
rnacentral:rRNA from 1 species